rnacentral:rRNA from 1 species
CCUACGGGAGGCAGCAGUGGGGAAUAUUGGACAAUGGGCGCAAGCCUGAUCCAGCCAUGCCGCGUGAGUGAUGAAGGCCCUAGGGUUGUAAAGCUCUUUUGUGCGGGAAGAUAAUGACGGUACCGCAAGAAUAAGCCCCGGCUAACUUCGUGCCAGCAGCCGCGGUAAUACGAAGGGGGCUAGCGUUGCUCGGAAUCACUGGGCGUAAAGGGUGCGUAGGCGGGUUUUUAAGUCAGAGGUGAAAUCCUGGAGCUCAACUCCAGAACUGCCUUUGAUACUGAAGAUCUUGAGUUCGGGAGAGGUGAGUGGAACUGCGAGUGUAGAGGUGAAAUUCGUAGAUAUUCGCAAGAACACCAGUGGCGAAGGCGGCUCACUGGCCCGAUACUGACGCUGAGGCACGAAAGCGUGGGGAGCAAACAGGAUUAGAUACCCUGGUAGUCCACGCCGUAAACGAUGAAAUGCCAGCCGUUAGUGGGUUUACUCACUAGUGGCGCAGCUAACGCUUUAAAGCAUUCCGCCUGGGGAGUACGGUCGCAAGAUUAAAACUUAAAAGGAAAUUGACGG